rnacentral:rRNA from 1 species
AUUGAACGCUGGCGGCAGGCCUAACACAUGCAAGUCGAGCGAGCGGCGGACGGGUGAGUAAUGUCUGGGAAACUGCCUGAUGGAGGGGGAUAACUACUGGAAACGGUAGCUAAUACCGCAUACCAUCAGAUGUGCCCAGAUGGGAUUAGCUAGUAGGUGGGGUAGCGGCUCACCUAGGCGACGAUCCCUAGCUGGUCUGAUCGGCUGCCCAGCCACUCUGGAACUGAGCCACGGGCCAGACUCCUACGGGAGGCAGCAGUGGGGAAUAGUGCACAAUGGGCGCAAGCCUGAUGCAGCCAUGCCGCGUGUGUGAAGAAGGCCUUCGGGUUGUAAAGCACUUUCAGCGGGUAGGCGUUACCCGCAGAAGAAGCACCGGCUAACUCCGUGCCAGCAGCCGCGGUAAUAC